rnacentral:rRNA from 1 species
AUGGAGACCGACUGUCAGGAGUUAGUGCAACUCUGGAAUUCUCGCCGCAAUUCACGUUCGAUUGUGGCCCCUAUCCUAGAUGAAAUAGGAGAGCUAGUUUUUGAUUUUUCGGUAUUUGAGGUUCAACGUGUAAACAGGGCAGCAAAUCUACUGGCGCAUCUCUGUGCAAAACGUGCAUGCACUCUCAAUGCGACCGAUUGCUGGCUCGAAAAGACUCCUAGCUUCUUGGUGACCAGCCUUUUGGCUGAUUGCCGGGAGAACACUUUUGUUGAAUAA